rnacentral:rRNA from 1 species
AUUGCCCUAGUAACGGCGAGUGAAGCGGCAACAGCUCAAAUUUGAAAUCUGGCGCAAGCCCGAGUUGUAAUUUGUAGAGGAUGUUUCUGGCGACGUGCCUUCCGAGUUCCCUGGAACGGGACGCCAUAGAGGGUGAGAGCCCCGUACGGUUGGAUGCCUAGCCUCUGUGAAACUCCUUCGACGAGUCGAGUAGUUUGGGAAUGCUGCUCUAAAUGGGAGGUAUACGUCUUCUAAAGCUAAAUACCGGCCAGAGACCGAUAGCGCACAAGUAGAGUGAUCGAAAGAUGAAAAGCACUUUGAAAAGAGGGUUAAAAAGUACGUGAAAUUGUUGAAAGGGAAGCGUUCAUGACCAGACUUGGGCAGGUUGAUCAUCCGUGGUUCUCCGCGGUGCACUCUGCCUGCCCAGGCCAGCAUCAGUUCGCCCCGGGGGAUAAAGGCUUUGGGAAUGUGGCUCCCUCGGGAGUGUUAUAGCCCACUGUGUAAUACCCUGGGGUGGACUGAGGUUCGCGCUCUGCAAGGAUGCUGGCGUAAUGGUCAUCAACGACCCGUCUUGAAACACGGACCAAGGAGUCGUCUUCGUAUGCGAGUGUUCGGGUGUCAAACCCCUACGCGUAAUGAAAGUGAACGUAGGAGAGAGCUUCGGCGCAUCUCCGACCGAUCCUGAUGUUCUCGGAUGGAUUUGAGUAAGAGCAUACGGGGCCGGACCCGAAAGAAGGUGAACUAUGCCUGUAUAGGGUGAAGCCAGAGGAAACUCUGGUGGAGGCUCGCAGCGGUUCUGACGUGCAAAUCGAUCGUCAAAUAUGGGCAUGGGGGGCGAAAGA